GCAAGAUACCACGGGCGCACGGCGGAUGCCUUGGCACAGGGAGCCGAUGAAGGACGCGGCAAGCUGCGAUAAUCCCCGGCGAGGAGCACACAUCCUUCGACCCGGGGGUCUCCGAAUGGGCGAACCCAUGCACAGCAGUGUGCAUAUCCCCCCGCUGAACACAUAGGCGGGGGGAGGACAACCCGGGGAACUGAAACAUCUAAGUACCCGGAGGAGAGGAAAUCAAUCUCGAGACUCCCCGAGUAGCGGCGAGCGAAAGGGGACCGAUGGCCAAACCGUCGAGCGGGCAUACCCGGCAGGGGUUCCGCCGACGGGGUUGCAGGGCCGCGCAUCCGGGGGCUGCCGCCCCCGGGCGCAGGUCCGGCUGGGGAGCGGAACGGCAUGGGAGGGCCGGCCGCAGCGGGUGACAGCCCCGUACGCGAACCCAGACCGGACGGCGCGACGCGGUCCCUGAGUAGGGCCGGGCACGUGAAACCCGGUCCGAACCUGGGUGGACCACCAUCCAAGCCUGAGUACUACCCUGUGACCGAUAGCGCACCAGUACCGUGAGGGAAAGGUGAAAAGCACCCCGGGAGGGGAGUGAAACAGUACCUGAAACCGUGCGCCCACGAGCAGUCGGAGCACCUUUAUGGUGUGACGGCGUGCCUUUUGUAGAAUGAGCCAGCGAGUCGCUGGCGCGGGGCGAGGUUAACCGAAAGGGAGCCGGAGCGAAAGCGAGCCUUAACAGGGCGACUUGAGUCCCGCGCCGCGGACGCGAAGCCGGGUGAGCUAUCCGUGGGCAGGCUGAAGCGGGGGUAAGACCCCGUGGAGGGCCGAACGCACGUCGGUUGAAAACGGCGGCGAUGACCUGCGGAUAGGGGUGAAAGGCCAAUCAAACCCGGAGAUAUCUCGUUCUCCCCGAAAUAGCUUUAGGGCUAGCGUCGCGCGUUCACCGCCGGAGGUAGAGCACCGGAUGGACGAGGGGGCUUCGCCGCCUACCGAAUCCAACCGAACUCCGAAUGCCGGCGGCCCAGAGCGCGGCAGUCAGAGCAUGUGGGCUAAGCUGUGUGCUCGAGAGGGAAACAGCCCGGACCGCCCGCUAAGGUCCCCAAGUUCCAGCCGAGUGGCAAAGGAUGUGCGUCCGCCCAGACAACCAGGAUGUUGGCUUAGAAGCAGCCAUCCAUUCAAAGAGUGCGUAACAGCUCACUGGUCGAGUGGACAUGCGCCGACAAUACACGGGGCUAAGCUGGACACCGAAGCGGCGGGAUUUUAAUUCAUUAGAAUCGGUAGGGGAGCUUCCCAUGGGCGGAGAAGCCGGAGGGCGACCGACGGUGGAGCGCAUGGGAGUGAGAAUGCUGGCAUGAGUAGCGAGAGACGAGAGAGUAACUCGUCCGCCGUGAACCCGAGGUUUCCUGGGCAAGGCUAAUCCUCCCAGGGUCAGUCGGGGGCUAAGGCGAGGCCGGUAGGCGUAGCCGACGCGCAGCAGGCAGACAUUCCUGCACCGCGCACGCGGCGCUACGACCGACGGGGCGACGGAUGGGGGUGGCUCGGCGGGGUUCUGGACGUCCCCGUGAUGGAGCGCGGCCCGCGGACCAGGGAAAUCCGGUCCGCACGAAGGGCGAGGCUCCGGACGAAGCGACUGAGCGAAGCGAGUGAGCCCGAGGUCCCUAGAAAAACCCCUAGGCAGGCGCGUGCGCGCCCGUACCGCAAACCGACACAGGUGGGUGGGUAGAACAUACCGAGGCGAUCGGGUCAACCAUGGUCAAGGAACUCGGCACAAUGGCCCCGUAACUUCGGGAGAAGGGGUGCCCGCGCGUACGUGAACGGACUUGCUCCGGGAGCGGAGGCGGGCCGCAGUGGAGAGGCCCAAGCGACUGUUUACCAAAAACACAGGACUCUGCAGAAGCCGCAAGGCGACGUAUAGGGUCUGACGCCUGCCCGGUGCCGGAAGGUCACGCGGAGGAGUUAGCCGAUUCGGCGAAGCCCCGAAGCCAAGCCCCGGUAAACGGCGGCCGUAACUAUAACGGUCCUAAGGUAGCGAAAUUCCUUGUCGGGU
rnacentral:rRNA from 1 species